AAAAAGGAAAGUAACUAAAGAACAUAGUAAAUCUUCCUUCAUAAUUAAUUUUGUACUAACAAAAUUAACAGUGUGUUGGAUCCGCGUGUCAAGUAUCUUGUGAUGGCGUUAACUGCAAUGCUACGUGCAGUGGAGAUGAUUGUCUAGCUGCCUGUUCUGGUGACGAUUGUAAUGCUCAGGUAA